UACGUAGGGGGCGAGCGUUGUCCGGAUUUAUUGGGCGUAAAGAGCUCGUAGGCGGUUCGGUAAGUCAGAUGUAAAAACUCCAGGCUCAACUUGGAGAGGCCAUCUGAUACUGCCGUGACUAGAGUCCGGUAGAGGAGCACGGAAUUCCUGGUGUAGCGGUGAAAUGCGCAGAUAUCAGGAAGAACACCCGUGGCGAAGGCGGCUCUCUGGGACGUGACUGACGCUGAGACGCGAAAGCGUGGGGAGCAAACAGG
rnacentral:rRNA from 1 species